rnacentral:rRNA from 1 species
UACGAAGGGGGCUAGCGUUGCUCGGAAUGACUGGGCGUAAAGAGCUCGUAGGCGGCUUGUCACGUCGGAUGUGAAAGCCCGGGGCUUAACCCCGGGUCUGCAUUCGAUACGGGCAGGCUAGAGUGUGGUAGGGGAGAUCGGAAUUCCUGGUGUAGCGGUGAAAUGCGCAGAUAUCAGGAGGAACACCGGUGGCGAAGGCGGAUCUCUGGGCCAUUACUGACGCUGAGGAGCGAAAGCGUGGGGAGCGAACAGG